rnacentral:rRNA from 1 species
AAUCAACGCUGGCGGCGUGCCUCAGACAUGCAAGUCGAACGAUUAAAGCUCUCUUCGGAGAGUGCAUAGAGUGGCGCACGGGUGAGUAACACGUAAGUAAUCUACCUUCGAGUGGGGAAUAACGUCCGGAAACGGACGCUAAUACCGCAUAAUGCAGCGGCAUCGCAAGAUGACAGUUGUUAAAGGAGCAAUUCGCUUGAAGAGGAGCUUGCGGCAGAUUAGCUAGUUGGUAAGGUAAUGGCUUACCAAGGCUACGAUCUGUAACCGGUCUAAGAGGACGGUCGGUCACACUGACACUGAAUAACGGGUCAGACUCCUACGGGAGGCAGCAGUCGGGAAUUUUGGGCAAUGGGCGAAAGCCUGACCCAGCAACGCCGCGUGAAGGAUGAAGUAUUUCGGU